rnacentral:rRNA from 1 species
UACGUAGGGGGCUAGCGUUGUCCGGAAUCAUUGGGCGUAAAGCGCGUGUAGGCGGUCCGGUAAGUCCGCUGCGAAAGUCGGGGGCUCAACCCUCGAAUGCCGGUGGAUACUGUCGGGCUAGAGUACGGAAGAGGCGAGUGGAAUUCCUGGUGUAGCGGUGAAAUGCGCAGAUAUCAGGAGGAACACCAAUUGCGAAGGCAGCUCGCUGGGACGUUACUGACGCUGAGACGCGAAAGCGUGGGGAGCAAACAGG